GAGUUGAUCAUGGCUCAGGACGAACGCUGGCGGCGUGCCUAACACAUGCAAGUCGAGCGAGGAGAUCCUUCGGGAUGAUCCUAGCGGCGGACGGGUGAGUAACACGUGGGCAACCUGCCUCAUAGAGAGGAAUAGCCUUCCGAAAGGGAGAUUAAUACCUCAUAACAUUGCAGUUUCGCAUGAAACAGCAAUUAAAGGAGCAAUCCGCUAUGAGAUGGGCCCGCGGCGCAUUAGCUAGUUGGUGAGGUAACGGCUCACCAAGGCGACGAUGCGUAGCCGACCUGAGAGGGUGAUCGGCCACAUUGGGACUGAGACACGGCCCAGACUCCUACGGGAGGCAGCAGUGGGGAAUAUUGCACAAUGGGGGAAACCCUGAUGCAGCCAACGCCGCGUGAGUGAUGACGGCCUUCGGGUUGUAAAGCUCUGUCUUCAGGGACGAUAAUGACGGUACCUGAGGAGGAAGCCACGGCUAACUACGUGCCAGCAGCUGC
rnacentral:rRNA from 1 species